AAUGAACGCUGGCGGCAUGCCUAACACAUGCAAGUCGAACGAGAGCAUCGGGUCUAGUGGCGCACGGGUGUGUCACGCGUCGGAACCUGCCCUUAUGUUUGGAAUACCUCCCCGACAGGGGUGCUAAUACCGGAUAAUGUCUUCUAACCAAAGAUUUAUCGCGUUUGUAUGGGCAGGCGUUGGAUUCGCUAGUUGGUAGGGUAAAAGCCUACCACGGCGUCGAUCCAUAGCUGGUCAGAGAGGCAGGUCAGCGACACUGGGACUCAGACACGGCCGGGACUCUUACGGGAGGGAGCAGUGGGGGAUAGUGGACAAUGGGCGAAGGGCUGAUCCAGCUAGGCCGGGUGAGUGAUGAAGGUCGGAGGGUUGUAAAGCUCUUUUACCCGGGAUGAUAAUGACGGUACCGGGAGAAUAAGCUCCGGCUAACUCCGUG
rnacentral:rRNA from 1 species